rnacentral:rRNA from 1 species
UAUUUCCUACGGGGGGCAGCAGUGAGGAAUAUUGGUCAAUGGGCGGAAGCCUGAACCAGCCAAGUCGCGUGAGGGAAUAAGGCCCUACGGGUCGUAAACCUCUUUUGCCGGGGAGCAAGGGCCGGGACGCGUCCCGGCCCGGAGAGUACCCGGAGAAAAAGCAUCGGCUCACUCCGUGCCAGCAGCCGCGGUAAUACGGGGGAUGCGAGCGUUAUCCGGAUUUAUUGGGUUUAAAGGGUGCGUAGGCGGGCUUUUAAGUCAGCGGUAUAAAUUCGGGGAUCAACCCCGUCCGG